CUUGAAAGCACUUUUCUUUUUAUUAUGUUCAAAAUUCAGCAACGAAAACUGCUCGUCUUGCUUCUACGGAAGCUGUAAGGACGAGAAAGUGGAGCGCUGUCGCGGAAAGAGGCAGAAAUUUGGUGACACAAGAGCGAUCUCAGGACAGGGUGGAGCCAGGGAUCAGGACUGUGGUGCCCAGUCCCAGCUCAGCUAAGCCAAUGUGCGUCUUUGGCUUGAAUGGAGGUGCAAUAAAGCGAGGGCACUUUCUGCGAGAUCUGGAAGGACCCUUGGAACUGAUCUCAUCCUGCCUCCCUCUGGGAAGCCAGGGAAGGCCUGAGCCCUACGGGGUGAUGACAACCGGCCUCUGCCCAGGGCAUGCUGUCGAGGUCCUGGAGAGAUCUGUUUCCCUGGUCACACUGGGACAGUGUCAGCUCCCAUCCAUCUGGUCCU
rnacentral:lncRNA from 10 species